GUUCAUCGUUCGUGUGCCUACAGAUGUCCAGAGGACCAUAUCCUACAUGGCUGACACCUGAAUCUUUGACUAUCCAAUAGCAAGUGGGGGUCAAGACUGUUCCUGAAAGUGGCUUGUGAAAUGGGCUCAACUUAUGCAGUUUCCCAGGGCAUGGGGGGAGGCUUGGGAAAUGCUGGUGGCUGGCCUGGUGGCAUCUUGGGAAUGUGCUCAGAGGACCAGGGGAUGUUUUUCCAACUUCUCCGUCCCUUCCCCAUUGCUGGGAUGGUACUUCAGAUACCCUGCUAUUAUUGCCAGACACAGAGGGGGAAGUUCCAGCCAUUGUUUUCCAUGUACUUAGUGAAAAUUUCAUUAUGCAGAGCUCUGUCUUCAGUACUAGUACAUUGGUGACUCAACACUAUUAUUUGAUGCUAUCUGCUUUACCCUUUUCAAUUCUUCCAGGGAGCUAUUAUAGCGAAGGAAAAAUGACAUCCAGAGAAGUGAAGAAACACCCCCAGGAUUGUGAUGAUGGAAAUAACAAAACCAGGGUGGAGAUCCUUACUACUCCCCUGCCACUCCUGGAACCAACCAGCCAUUUUCCUCAGCACAGACUAUGAUAUCACGAGCAGAUCUACUCUUGCUCUUUUGACUGAGCUGGAGUCUGUGUGCGCCUCUGUAACCUGGGCUCCUGGCCCAGGCCACACUUCUUGAGCUCUUUGUACAUGUGUACUGCCAUAGUCAUCACAACAAAGGACCCACCCUCUCAGGCCAUUUCAAGACCAAAUUAAGUGAAAGUUAAGAAAGGUAGUUUCAACUCACCAGGCACGUACUCAUCUCUGGCCACUUGUUCGUGCAUAAGAUAGAGGAGAUGACUCUAGGGAAUUGCAGAUCUCCGUGAGCUACUGGUGUAAACUUAGGAGCCCAAAGUCAAGGGACUGGAUUCCAAAUGUUAAUACUUAGAGAAGCAAAGGAGAAAAUAAUUCUAAUAUGGAGAAAUCUUCAAAGGAAGAGGUCAGAUUGUGGCUGUGAAAAGCACAGGAGGAGGGUGAGGCCCACCAGGAAAUCAGCACAUGAGAACAACCUGAGUACGGGCUUGUUAUGGGAACUCUGUCUAUGCCAGGUGAAUCCAUCUGUCACUGGGCUCUUUUGCGUGUAGCAAUAGCAAAGAGUCUUAGUCUCUACUACAAAAUAUUAUACACAAGGCAGCUUAUAAAUCACGGAAUGUAUUGUUCACAGUUCUUGAGGUUAGGAGCCUGGACCAUCUGACUGGGGUCUGCUUUCUGCCCGGAGGCAGGACCUGAAGCAGAGUCACUGCUUAUGGAGUUGCUCCCUGGUCUUGUUCAUUUCUCGUUCUUCUACCAACCAGAACCACCUGCCCAGGAGUAGAAUUGCUUCCAGUGGGCUGGGCCCUCUCACAUCAAGCAUUAAUCAAAUAAAAUGUCCGACAGACUUACCUACAGGCAAUUUACAGAAGCAUUUUCUCAAUGGACGUCUCUCUUCCCUGAGAACUCUAGCUUGUACCAGGUUGAUAAAAACUAACCAAGAUGGUUUUCAAGCCACAAGGAAUACGUCAGCAUAUAUUCUCCAGGCAAUGGAAAGCUUGAAAAAUGGGAAGAAGCUGGCAGGGAUGCCCUAGAUGGACUGGCGCUGGAGAACCUGUUGACUGACUGAACGGGCUUGGUCAGAUGGUGCCUCAACGCUGGAGCUCCAGUAAGCAGGGAACAGCGAUGGACACCAGGGGAAUUGGAAUCACGUGCAAAGGAAAGUAAAGAAGAUUUGGGCCAGCAGUGAAUAAACCUUGUAGAAAGACAAGGGACAAGGAAGAAAAUGGGGCUCGGUGGUUGCCAGAGAGGCUGGUGCGACAAAUGGAACAACCCCACACUCCUGCUGAUUCCCCUACUGAUGAUGAUGACUCCUGCACACGCUGUCCUCUUGGGCCGUAAGAACUGGAGGACUGUGGUCGGCAGACGUGCUAAGAGGAUCACAGGCUACCACCCUGGGGGACACCCUGGGAAGUAGGGAGAGCCAGGGAUGCCUGGUAGUCUCCGGAGAUUGGUCAGAGGGACCGAGUUCUGUUGUUGAAGCAGAAGCUUCCCCCUCUGCGAUCAUGUAAUUCUUUUGCCUUCUUGUAGAGGAUGCGAAAGGGCCGCAUGUGUCUUGAUCUAUUGGUUUCUGUUUUGUGUGUUUUUUGUGUAUGUGUUUAGAGCUAUGUGAAAAUCUAGAGAAGCAAA